GAGUAACGCGUAGGAACAUACCCCAAAGUGAGGGAUAAGCACCAGAAAUGGUGUCUAAUACCGCAUGUGGUCCAAGGAUUAAAGCUUCGGCGCUUUGGGAAUGGCCUGCGUAAGAUUAGCUAGUUGGUGAGGUAAUGGCUCACCAAGGCGACGAUCUUUAGCUGGUCUGAGAGGAUGACCAGCCAGACUGGGACUGAGACACGGCCCAG
rnacentral:rRNA from 1 species